UCCCCAUGGCGCAAUGGUAGCGCGUGGCCCUCCUAAGGCCAAGGUUGCGCGUUCGAGUCGCGUGCGGAU